rnacentral:rRNA from 1 species
UACGUAGGGUGCAAGCGUUGUCCGGAAUCAUUGGGCGUAAAGAGCGUGUAGGCGGUCCGGUAAGUCCGCUGUGAAAGUCGGGGGCUCAACCCUCGAAUGCCGGUGGAUACUGUCGGGCUAGAGUGCGGAAGAGGCGAGUGGAAUUCCUGGUGUAGCGGUGAAAUGCGCAGAUAUCGGAAAGAACACCAACGGCGAAAGCACUCUGCUGGGCCGACACUGACACUGAGAGACGAAAGCUAGGGGAGCGAAUGGG